CCUACGGGUGGCAGCAGUGAGGAAUAUUGGUCAAUGGACGAGAGUCUGAACCAGCCAAGUAGCGUGAAGGAUGACUGCCCUAUGGGUUGUAAACUUCUUUUAUAAAGGAAUAAAACGAGGCACGUGUGCCUUUUUGCAUGUACUUUAUGAAUAAGGAUCGGCUAACUCCGUGCCAGCAGCCGCGGUAAGACGGAGGAUCCGAGCGUUAUCCGGCUUUAGUGGGUUGAAGGGGAGCGUAGAUGGUGUGUUAAGUCAGUUCUGAAAGUUUGCGGCUCCACCGUAAAAUUGCAAUUGAUACUGGCAGUCUUGCGUACAGUUGCGGUCGGCCGAAUUCGUGGUGUAGCGGUGAAAUGCUUAGAUAUCACGAAGAACCCCGAUUGCGCCGGCCGCUUACUAAACUGUGACUGACAUUGCUGCUCGAACGUGUGGGUAUCAAACAGGAUUAGAUACCCUUGUAGUC
rnacentral:rRNA from 1 species